GUGGAGAGGGGGCUGUGGAGCCCCGCCCGUCUGUAAAACGGGAGCCUCGCGCAGAGUCGGUUCGACUCCGACCUCCACC
rnacentral:tRNA from 1 species